rnacentral:rRNA from 1 species
AUACGUAGGUGGCAAGCGUUAUCCGGAUUUAUUGGGCGUAAAGGGAACGCAGGCGGUUCUUUAAGUCUGAUGUGAAAGCCUUCGGCUUAACCGAAGAUGUGCAUUGGAAACUGGGGAACUUGAGUGCAGAAGAGGAGAGUGGAACUCCAUGUGUAGCGGUGAAAUGCGUAGAUAUAUGGAAGAACACCAGUGGCGAAAGCGGCUCUCUGGUCUGUAACUGACGCUGAGGUUCGAAAGCGUGGGUAGCGAACAGGAUUAGAUACCCUGGUAGUCCACGCCGUAAACGAUGAAUGCUAGGUGUUGGAGGGUUUCCGCCCUUCAGUGCCGCAGCUAACGCACUAAGCAUUCCGCCUGGGGAGUACGACCGCAAGGUUGAA